rnacentral:tRNA from 1 species
GUUAAUGUAGCUUAAACUAAAGCA